GGCUUUUUAGAUCUCCUGUUGGACAACAUCUCCAGGACACUUCGCUCCAUGUGACUAGGCAGUUUGUGAAGACAGAUAAUCAAGAGAAGUCAGUUCCAGAUCCACCUUCCACACCAGACCUCUCUCUCACGAGGAUUGCUGUCUACUAGCAUAUUGUGUUCUCUUCAGACUUCGGGGAAUGCAGAUAUUACUCGGGGACACGAACACAUGAAUAUUGCAAGAAUAGAGAAAGUAAGAUAUAUUAUAUAUAUAUUUAGAUAUAUUUUUGUGGCAGUGUGAACUGGCCAUAAUGCUGUAAUGAUAGGUGUGAGAUUCAUUAAACUUGAUUUGGUAUAAUACAUCUGUUCAUAAGCUAUUGCAUAUUAUUUUCAAUGAAUUAUUUGUAGUGGUUUGGUUAAGGGUGUGAUUAGCUGAUGUAUUAUUGUGGGAGCUUGUGAUUAGUUGAUAAAUGUGUUUAUUGUUAAUGAUAAUAUUUAAAUGCAAUGUGCUGAGUGCUUACUAAGACUUGCAUGUUUGUGCAUAAUGUUUUGACCCCGGAUGCUUACAGAAGGGUAUAGAUAUUUAAAUAUAUGGAAAUGUAUUUAUUAUUAAUAUAUCUCAAUCUAUGUGCUUCUGUUUGGGCUGAAUGCUUUCAUUCAUAUGUCGCUGUAUAUCCUGUUUUUAUUAAUAAUCUGGGUGUAUUACUGUUCAUAUUUGCUUGUUAAUAAAUUAACUGAAUUC